rnacentral:tRNA from 5 species
GGGCGUGUGGCCUAGCCAGGAUAUGGCGGCAGCCUCCUAAGCUGUAAAUCAGGGGUUCAAAUCCCUUCACGCCCGCCA